rnacentral:rRNA from 1 species
GACGAACGCUGGCGGCGUGCUUAACACAUGCAAGUCGAACGGAAAGGCCCUGCUUGCAGGGUACUCGAGUGGCGAACGGGUGAGUAACACGUGGGUUAUCUGCCCUGCACUUCGGGAUAAGCCUGGGAAACUGGGUCUAAUACCGGAUAGGAGCCAUUUUUAGUGUGAUGGUUGGAAAGUUUUUUCGGUGUAGGAUGAGCUCGCGGCCUAUCAGCUUGUUGGUGGGGUAAUGGCCUACCAAGGCGGCGACGGGUAGCCGGCCUGAGAGGGUGGACAGCCACAUUGGGACUGAGAUACGGCCCAGACUCCUACGGGAGGCAGCAGUGGGGAAUAUUGCACAAUGGGCGCCAGCCUGAUGCAGCGACGCCGCGUGGGGGAUGACGGCCUUCGGGUUGUAAACUCCUUUCGCUAGGGACGAAGCUUUUUGUGACGGUACCUAGAUAAGAAGCACCGGCUAACUACGUG